UACGGAGGGUGCAAGCGUUGCUCGGAAUUAUUGGGCGUAGAGGGUAGGUAGGUGGUCUCAUUUGUCUGGGGUGAAAGCCUUGAGCUUAACUCAAGAAGUGCCCCAGAAACGGUGAGACUGGAGUCCUGGAGAGGGUCGUGGAAUUCCCGGUGUAGCGGUGAAAUGCGUAGAGAUCGGGAGGAACACCAGAGGCGAAAGCGGCGACCUGGACAGGCACUGACACUCAACUACGAAAGCGUGGGGAGCAAACAGG
rnacentral:rRNA from 1 species